AACAGGAAGCAGCUUGCUGCUUUGCUGACGAGUGGCGGACGGGUGAGUAAUGUCUGGGAAACUGCCUGAUGGAGGGGGAUAACUACUGGAAACGGUAGCUAAUACCGCAUAAUGUCGCAAGACCAAAGAGGGGGACCUUCGGGCCUCUUGCCAUCGGAUGUGCCCAGAUGGGAUUAGCUGGUAGGUGGGGUAAAGGCUCACCUAGGCGACGAUCCCUAGCUGGUCUGAGAGGAUGACCAGCCACACUGGAACUGAGACACGGUCCAGACUCCUACGGGAGGCAGCAGUGGGGAAUAUUGCACAAUGGGCGCAAGCCUGAUGCAGCCAUGCCGCGUGUAUGAAGAAGGCCUUCGGGUUGUAAAGUACUUUCAGCGGGGAGGAAGGGAGUAAAGUUAAUACCUUUGCUCAUUGACGUUACCCGCAGAAGAAGCACCGGCUAACUCCGUGCCAGCAGCCGCGGUAAUACGGAGGGUGCAAGCGUUAAUCGGAAUUACUGGGCGUAAAGCGCACGCAGGCGGUUUGUUAAGUCAGAUGUGAAAUCCCCGGGCUCAACCUGGUAACUGCAUCUGAUACUGGCAAGCUUGAGUCUCGUAGAGGGGGGUAGAAUUCCAGGUGUAGCGGUGAAAUGCGUAGAGAUCUGGAGGAAUA
rnacentral:rRNA from 1 species